ACUCUUCUAGUAUAUUUAUUACAAUCGACUUCCAAUCCUUAAAAUCUGGUUUAAACCCAGAGAAGAGUAAUAAACAUA
rnacentral:tRNA from 1 species